GGUGUAUUAGCUUAAUGGAUAGAGCUUUUCUCUGACUAAGGAAAUGAUCUGGGUCUGAAUCCCGGGUGCAUCU